CCCUUAGAGUUUGAUCCUGGCUCAGAACGAACGUUGGCGGCGUGGAUGAGGCAUGCAAGUCGCACGUGAAAGUCCUUCGGGACGAGUAAAGUGGCGGACGGGUGAGUAACACGUAACCAAGCUGCCCGCGAGACUGGGAUAACCGAGGGAAACUUCGGCUAAUACCGGAUGGCCUUGGGAAGGCGCAUGUUUUCCCAAGUAAAUGGGGGGGAUCCUUCGGGACCUCCUGCUCGCGGAGGCGGUUGCGGCCUAUCAGUUAGUUGGCGGGGUAAUGGCCCACCAAGGCGACGACGGGUAGCCGGCCUGAGAGGGUGGUCGGCCACAUGGGGACUGAGACACUGCCCCGACUCCUACGGGAGGCUGCAGUCGAGAAUCUUCCGCAAUGGGCGCAAGCCUGACGGAGCGACGCCGCGUGGAGGACGAAGGCCCUUGGGUUGUAAACUCCUGUCACGGGUUAUGAACGUGUAGAUGUUAACAGCGUCUGCAUUGACGUAAGCUCGAGAGGAAGCACUGGCUAACUCUGUGCCAGCAGCCGCGGUAAUACAGAGAGUGCAAACGUUGUUCGGAAUCACUGGGCAUAAAGCGUACGUAGGCGGCCUUUCAAGUGUGGAGUGAAAUCCCACGGCUCACCCGUGGAACUGCUUCGCAUACUGUUUGGCUCGAGGAUGGUAGAGGAGAGCGGAACUCCUGGUGGAGCGGUGAAAUGCGUAGAUAUCACGAGGAACACCGGUGGCGAAGCGCUCUCUGGUCCAUUCCUGACGCUGAGUACGAAAGCUAGGGUAGCGAACGGGAUAGAUACCCCGGUAGUCUAGCCGUAACGAUGGUACUACUAGAGUCAUUCCUGUGUGGUCUCUGGUGAGCAAUGUGCUAGUACCCCGCCUGGGGAGUAUGGUCGCAGCUAAACU
rnacentral:rRNA from 1 species